rnacentral:rRNA from 1 species
GACGAACGCUGGCGGCGUGCCUAAUACAUGCAAGUCGAACGCAGUGGGGACGGGUGGGUAACACGUGGGUAACCUACCAUCAGAGGGGAUAACACUUGAAAACCGGUGCUAAACAGGUACGGAUGGAUGGACCCGCGGUGCAUUACCUAGUUGGUGAGGUAACGGCGCACCAAGGCCACGAUGCAGAGCCGACCGUAGAGGGUGAGCGGCCAGACUGGGACUGAGACACGGCCCAGACUCCUACGGGAGGCAGCAGUGGGGAAUCUUCGGCAAUGGACGAAAGUCUGAUCGAGCAACGCCGCGGGAGUGAAGAAGGUUUUCGGGUCGUAAAGCUCUGUUGUUAGAGAAGCGGUAUCUAACCAAGAAGCCACGGCUAACUCCGUGCCAGCAGCCGCGGUAAUUC